rnacentral:rRNA from 1 species
ACAAGCAGCGGAGCGGUGUGGUUUAAUUCGAUGCUACACGAAGAACCUUACUGGGUUUGACAUGCAGGUGGUAGGGAACUGAAGGGACCGACCUUCGGGAGCUUGCACAGGUGCUGCAUGGCUGUCGUCAGCUCGUGUCGUGAGAUGUCCGGUUAAGUCCGGUAACGAGCGCAACCCCUGCUGUAUGUUACAAGUGUCAUACGGGACUGCCGGUAUAAAGCCGGAGGAAGGUGGGGAUGACGUCAAGUCAGCAUGGCCUUUAUGUCCAGGGCUACACACACGCUACAAUGGUCAUGACAAUAGGUUGCAAAACUGCGAAGUGGAGCCAAUCCUGAAACAUGGCCACAGUUCAGAUUGCAGGCUGCAACUCGCCUGCAUGAAGCUGGAGUUGCUAGUAACCGCGCGUCAGCUAUAGUGCGGUGAAUACGUUCCCGGGCCUU